UGAAAGCAGUAAGUUCCUGAGCAGUUAAAUAUUGCCCAGCAUCAUACAACUGCAAGAUGCCAACCCUAGGAAAAGCGUGAUUCCAGAGAUGCUAUAGACCUGAAUAAAAGGAAAUGGCUAAGACUCUAAAA